CCUACGGGAGGCAGCAGUGGGGAAUAUUGCACAAUGGGCGGAAGCCUGAUGCAGCAACGCCGCGUGCGGGAUGACGGCCUUCGGGUUGUAAACCGCUUUCGCCUGUGACGAAGCGUGAGUGACGGUAAUGGGUAAAGAAGCACCGGCUAACUACGUGCCAGCAGCCGCGGUGAUACGUAGGGUGCGAGCGUUGUCCGGAUUUAUUGGGCGUAAAGGGCUCGUAGGUGGUUGAUCGCGUCGGAAGUGUAAUCUUGGGGCUUAACCCUGAGCGUGCUUUCGAUACGGGUUGACUUGAGGAAGGUAGGGGAGAAUGGAAUUCCUGGUGGAGCGGUGGAAUGCGCAGAUAUCAGGAGGAACACCAGUGGCGAAGGCGGUUCUCUGGGCCUU
rnacentral:rRNA from 1 species